CAGUCUACCGCAGCGCCAUGUUCGGGCGACCAUUUCUCUCAGUGGUUGGUUCAAAUCGCAAGUUGCUAACCCAGGCCCUCAGCCAAUCGCCGACGACAACGAACGGGACAACACACACGUACCCGUCCCGUUGGUCGACAGCCUCUUCGUGCUCUCGGGCCAAUCGCCGACGACAACGAAAUGCUAAUCCUAAUAUAGAGUGAAAUUAGCUUCUCCCAUUGGCUCAUGUCCUCACCACUUUCGCUCGCUCCGCGAUUCAUUCUUCUCACAUUUGUUCGAGAUUUCCAGGCGUAAAAUUAAACUCACAUCGUCGUCGAACUCACCAAAACACUUACUGUUGUAAUGGCGGGCAUGUAACUUCAACACUCCUAAUAUAUAUCGCUGGAAUACUUUCAAGGAGAAGACGAGACAAUUACCCCAGCCGAACACAUUACCGAUGUACCUGUCUGAAGGCAAUGGAUUUCAAGCCCGACUUUGUGUUCAUGCCGCCUGGUAUGAAGCAUUUACGGCUGCAGUGCACGGCUCAGGCAACAAAGCUGGCCCAAGCAUACAGAGCGAAACCCGCAGCUACCACCUGCAAGAGCGCUUCCGUGGUGAAGGAGGAGGCCGUGGCCCGCGUUGUUCAAGGCGGCGGAGACCCCCAGUGCUGGCAACUGGUGCUCAGCGAGAUGACGCUCCAGUUUGGCUAGUACCGGGGCCAAACAUUCAAAUGACUCCUUGAGAACGAUGUGGGCUACUGUGCCAUGGUCGUGGCUUCCCACCAGAAGGAGGAAAACGGCGACACGUCGCAGUCACCCCUGGCGGCGAAUAAAGAUUCCCUGGCAUGGUACACACACGUCUUCCCGGAGAUGGCCGCUGUCGUGCGGCAUCGGCUGAUGGUCAUGGGAGCACCGUUGGUCAGGGAGCUGGGUGAGCAACUGUUGACAAUGGGACAGUUCCCCAACGAAACCUACGGUUCUCCCUACGAGUCAACUGAUGAGCGGCAUCGAGCGUAUGUUUGUCGUAUGCGCGCAGGGAAAGCUGGUAUGGCGGGCUCCUUCUUCCACACCCUGAACUCCUACAUCGUUGGGAGAGACAAUGAGGCAAAUUACAAAAGGUCUCGUCGGUAAACGACUCAUGGGUCGCAACCGCGAGCGCCCCCGACGUUUCCCUGGAGCGCCGAGGAAGAUGCAGUUCAUCGUCUGCCGCAACCGCGAGCACCCCCAUCGUUUGCGUGGAGUGCCGGGGAAGAUGCGAUACGUGCGGUGGUCUGGUAACGAGCAGGAGGAGGAGGAGGUACCGUGCCAGCGGCGAGCCCGACGGCAGUGGUGAUACGCCCGCCAGGUGUACCGUUCGCAGGAGGAAGAGCAGAGCCCUGCAGGACGAGCAGCUACUCGAUGCCAACGAACGAUUCACAUGGGGCAGCGAACCUGGGGAGGACUGCCUGUGAUGUGGCCAGGCUCGUACUUUGGCGGGGGGGGGGGGGGCAUGCUUUUUACAAAGGCAGCUAUUUCUGCCAAUUAAACGAGGAUUGCGGGGAGGACGGCGUGGUGAGCAUUUCGACAUGGCUGCAAAAGCAGUUGUCUGCGCUGCCGCUAAAAACUCCCCAUACCACUGUGUGGCGGCAACGCAAACACCAGACCGAGGGGCGGGAGCAGUCGACAGAGCGGAAAGCCAGAACGUGCGGAAAGUGUGGCCACCCGCAACAGGUGGUGUACGGUCUCACUUCCUUCAUGAGCAAAGUGCCCAAGAAGACUCUCCGAACCUUCUGCACACUGCAUGAGGGAAAACCAAUGGCCCUGUGGCUGGCAGAGCAGCGGGCGAGGGAAACGCUUGACGCCGCUACGCAAGAAGCACCUGCGCCUUCUUCCUCUAGGGAGGAAGAACCUGCGCGCGAGGAGAAAGAACCUGCGCGCGAGGCCUAAUGUGUCAAAACAUCUCUCUUGUGUGCGUUUCUUUCCGCGCACCGGUGUUCAAUUUUCAAUCUUCAAGACGUUCUUAUAGAUGUGGUGUGUGAAGUUAGUUGAGUCAAUAGAUAGAUAGAUGUGUGAUGAACCAGCAGCAGCGAGUGGCAUUGUGUCAUUUAUUGAUUUUCAUUCAAGACAAAUUGGUUCACUGUUUUAAAAGAAAUAGAUGUGGUGUGUGAAGUUAGUUGAAUCAAUAAAUAGAUGUGUGAAGCAGCA